rnacentral:miRNA from 1 species
CUGGAGUGCUCUGGCUGCUUGGGUUCCUGGCAUGCUGAUUUGUGACUUAAGAUUAAAAUCACAUUGCCAGGGAUUACCACGCAACCACGACCCUGACUGCUGCUCCA